rnacentral:rRNA from 1 species
GAUGAACGCUGGCGGCGUGCCUAACACAUGCAAGUCGAGCGGAAGGACGAUAAGCUUGUUUUUUUACUGUUAGCGGCGGGCGGGUGUGUAACGCGUGCAUCACCUUCUUCUAUUUCUGGGAUAAUUACGUAAAUCCGGAUACUAUAAUGGAGAAUAUUUUGAACCGGUUGGUGCAAAAGAGAUUGUCGGCCUUCGUGUCUCUAUUAGCUGGUUCCGCGCUGCAUUAGCUAGUUGGUAGGGUAACGGCUUACCAAGGCUACGAUGCGUAGCUGAGCUGAUAGAGUGAUCAGCCACACUGGAACUGAGACACGGUCCAGACUACUACGGGAGGCAGCAGUAGGGAAUAUUCGGCAAUGGGCGAAAGCCUGACGCAGCAAUGCCGCGUGAGUGAAGAAGGCCUUCGGGUCGUAAAGCCCUUUUGUUGGGUAAGAACAGAUGUAGAUUAAAACGUGGCUAUCGUGACGGUACCUAAUGAAUAAGCAACGGCUAACUACGUG